rnacentral:RNase_P_RNA from 1 species
AAGGUGGGUCGGAGAAGCGCCCCUCACCAUUUUGUAAGUCUUUGUCGAAAGGUAGGGCGGGCAAAAUGGUGAGGGGAGGAAAGUCCGGGCAUCGAAAAGCAACGGGCCGGAGAAUAUCCGGACCCCACAAAAAGGUGUGGGGAUGGAAAGUGCCACAGAGAAUAGACUUCCCCUCACCAUUUUGUAAGCUGCUUUAGAGAGAGAGCUUACAAAAUGGUGAGGGGUAAAGGUGAAAAGGCGGUGUAAGAGACCACCACGGGUAACAUAAGUUACCCGGUAGGGUAAACCCCCCGGGAUGCAAGGUUAAAUAGGCAUUCUAUUCCACAGCUUUGUGGUUAAGGAAUGUGGGUGAACCGCUAGAUUUUCCAUGUAAAUGGAAAACAAGAUGGAUGCUUCUCGAUUUACAGAACCCGGCUUAUAGACCCACCCUUUUU